rnacentral:rRNA from 1 species
CGAAUGGGUGCGUAACACGUAGGUGACCUGCCCGAAAGUGGGGAAUAACAGUCCGAAAGGACUGCUAAUACCGCAUACGGUGCGCGGGGUUAGAGAACCGCGCUCCAAAGGUGCAAGCAAUUGCGCCGCUUUCGGAGGGGCCUGCGGCCCAUCAGCUAGUUGGUGGGGUAACGGCCUACCAAGGCGACGACGGGUAGGGGACCUGAGAGGGUGACCCCCCACACUGGCACUGACACACGGGCCAG